UGGGGAAUAUUGCGCAAUGGGCGAAAGCCUGACGCAGCGACGCCGCGUGUGGGAUGACGGCCUUCGGGUUGUAAACCACUGUCGCGAGGGACGAAAAAAUGACGGUACCUCGAAAGGAAGCACCGGCUAACUCUGUGCCAGCAGCCGCGGUAAUACAGAGGGUGCGAGCGUUGUCCGGAAUCACUGGGCGUAAAGGGCGCGUAGGUGGCCUGAUAAGUAGGGGGUGAAAUCUCGAGGCUCAACUUCGAGGCUGCCUCCUAAACUGCCAGGCUUGAGCAGAGUAGAGGCAGGUGGAAUUCCCGGUGUAGCGGUGGAAUGCGUAGAGAUCGGGAAGAACAUCGGUGGCGAAGGCGGCUCGCUGGGCUGUUGCUGACGCUGAGGCGCGAAAGCG
rnacentral:rRNA from 1 species